GACGAACGCUGGCGGCGUGCUUAACACAUGCAAGUCGAACGGAAAGGCCCUGCUUUUGUGGGGUGCUCGAGUGGCGAACGGGUGAGUAACACGUGAGUAACCUGCCCUUGACUUUGGGAUAACUUCAGGAAACUGGGGCUAAUACCGGAUAGGAGCUCCUGCUGCAUGGUGGGGGUUGGAAAGUUUCGGCGGUUGGGGAUGGACUCGCGGCUUAUCAGCUUGUUGGUGGGGUAGUGGCUCACCAAGGCUUUGACGGGUAGCCGGCCUGAGAGGGUGACCGGCCACAUUGGGACUGAGACACGGCCCAGACUCCUACGGGAGGCAGCAGUGGGGAAUAUUGCACAAUGGGCGGAAGCCUGAUGCAGCAACGCCGCGUGCGGGAUGACGGCCUUCGGGUUGUAAACCGCUUUCGCCUGUGACGAAGCGUGAGUGACGGUAAUGGGUAAAGAAGCACCGGCUAACUACGUGCCAGCAGCCGCGGUGAUACGUAGGGUGCGAGCGUUGUCCGGAUUUAUUGGGCGUAAAGGGCUCGUAGGUGGUUGAUCGCGUCGGAAGUGUAAUCUUGGGGCUUAACCCUGAGCGUGCUUUCGAUACGGGUUGACUUGAGGAAGGUAGGGGAGAAUGGAAUUCCUGGUGGAGCGGUGGAAUGCGCAGAUAUCAGGAGGAACACCAGUGGCGAAGGCGGUUCUCUGGGCCUUUCCUGACGCUGAGGAGCGAAAGCGUGGGGAGCGAACAGGCUUAGAUACCCUGGUAGUCCACGCUGUAAACGGUGGGUACUAGGUGUGGGGUCCAUUCCACGGGUUCCGUGCCGUAGCUAACGCUUUAAGUACCCCGCCUGGGGAGUACGGCCGCAAGGCUAAAACUCAAAGGAAUUGACGGGGCCCCGCACGAGCGGCGGAGCAUGCGGAUUAAUUCGAUGCAACGCGUAGAACCUUACCUGGGUUUGACAUGGAUCGGGAGUGCUCAGAGAUGGGUGUGCCUCUUUUGGGGUCGGUUCACAGGUGGUGCAUGGCUGUCGUCAGCUCGUGUCGUGAGAUGUUGGGUUAAGUCCCGCAACGAGCGCAACCCUUGUUCACUGUUGCCAGCACGUUAUGGUGGGGACUCAGUGGAGACCGCCGGGGUCAACUCGGAGGAAGGUGGGGAUGACGUCAAGUCAUCAUGCCCCUUAUGUCCAGGGCUUCACGCAUGCUACAAUGGCUGGUACAGAGAGUGGCGAGCCUGUGAGGGUGAGCGAAUCUCGGAAAGCCGGUCUCAGUUCGGAUUGGGGUCUGCAACUCGACCUCAUGAAGUCGGAGUCGCUAGUAAUCGCAGAUCAGCAACGCUGCGGUGAAUACGUUCCCGGG
rnacentral:rRNA from 1 species